AAUGAACGCUGGCGGCAGGCCUAACACAUGCAAGUCGAACGGAUCCUUCGGGAUUAGUGGCGGACGGGUGAGUAACGCGUGGGAACAUACCCAAAGGUACGGAAUAGCCUCGGGAAACUGGGAGUAAUACCGUAUGUGGUCGAGAGACGAAAGAUUUAUCGCCAAAGGAUUGGCCCGCGUUGGAUUAGGUAGUUGGCGGGGUAAUGGCCUACCAAGCCGACGAUCCAUAGCUGGUUUGAGAGGAUGAUCAGCCACACUGGGACUGAGACACGGCCCAGACUCCUACGGGAGGCAGCAGUGGGGAAUCUUAGACAAUGGGGGAAACCCUGAUCUAGCCAUGCCGCGUGAUCGAUGAAGGCCUUAGGGUUGUAAAGAUCUUUCAGGUGGGAAGAUAAUGACUGUACCACCAGAAGAAGCCCCGGCUAACUCCGUGCCAGCAGCCGCCGUAA
rnacentral:rRNA from 1 species